AACCACCUCCUCAUUGGAACCCUAAGAAUGCCAACCAGCAACCAUAAAGGAAGAAUUGCAGGAACAAUCCCAAUCUUUUUCAACAAAUAUGAGACUCUGAAACAAUGUUGUUCACCUCCGAACGCGCCACAAGAGCAAACCUCAAACCCUCUGUCACCUACUCUUUUGUUGUCUAAUCUACUGGAGCUGUCUAUGUCAGCUUCCCGUUCUAAUAUGUUGUUGUCCCAUGGCUCAAUUUUUAGGCCUCAUGUGUCUGUUAGGGUUCAUUCUAUUGCGAGAUCGAACCCUUCUCCGUAUUAAUUUAGAUUGGAUACAACUUCCGAUGAUCCGUACGACAGAGUGAAUAAUCCCAUUGGUACUACUAUUCAGAUCAGAUUGGUAGAAAAUCGGGUAUGAGAAAGGAGCUUAGAUUUCAGGAGAGUAGAUCUUUAUGAUUAUAUUCUUGAGCAUCCAACCAUAUCAUGAUUUCAUGUUGUUCUCCACUUCAACAAAUAUGGUGGCGUUUUUAUCUGUGAUCUUAGUAUUACACAUGGAACAUUCAUAAACACGAACCAGGUGAAGAAAAAGGUGUAUAUGGAGCUCCAUGUUGGUCAUGUUCUUUGAUUUGGCCAUUCAACUCGGCUGUACAUAUUUCAUGGACCACCUAACUUAAUUCCUCUAGUAAAGCCCUUCAACUAUCUCAUUCACUUGAAGCCUAUUUUCACUUCAUAUGAUGCCAUUGAGGUUCAUUAACUUAUUAUUGUUUCUUGUAAAAGGAAAAAGACAUGCAAAGUAUUAAAAAUAUUCAAAUUUGAAAAGAGAAACAUAACAUGGAAGCUUCGCUUCUAUAAAUAAAAAAAGAAGCACCACUUGAGGAUGGUAUUUCAUGGGGCAUGGAUGAGGAUGCAUUUUACAAAAUGAGUGUUUUCUAAUAAAAGCAAAUGUAUAGAUUGUUUUAUGUCUAGUUUAGUUACAUCAUACGUAGGAAAGUAGUAGAUCAUAGAGUGUUGAUUUGUUUAUUUUGAAUUAGGUUACUUUUCGUUUCCAUGUAAUAGAUAUUUUUUUUGUUUUAUGAUAUAAAUCUUAUU